rnacentral:rRNA from 1 species
UGCAGUCGAGCGCGGGAGCGAACGGAAUCCUUCGGGAGGAAGUUCGUGGAACGAGCGGCGGACGGGUGAGUAACACGUGGGCAACCUGCCUGUAAGACUGGGAUAACCCCGGGAAACCGGGGCUAAUACCGGAUAAUACAUGGUUUCGCAUGAAACCAUGUUGAAAGAUGGCUUUUACGCUAUCACUUACAGAUGGGCCCGCGGCGCAUUAGCUAGUUGGUAAGGUAACGGCUUACCAAGGCAACGAUGCGUAGCCGACCUGAGAGGGUGAUCGGCCACACUGGGACUGAGACACGGCCCAGACUCCUACGGGAGGCAGCAGUAGGGAAUCUUCCGCAAUGGACGAAAGUCUGACGGAGCAACGCCGCGUGAACGAAGAAGGUUUUCGGAUCGUAAAGUUCUGUUGUUAGGGAAGAACAAGUGCCGUUCGAAUAGGGCGGCACCUUGACGGUACCUAUCGAGGAAGCCCCGGCUAACUACGUGCCAGCAGCCGCGGUAAUACGUAGGGGGCAAGCGUUGUCCGGAAUUAUUGGGCGUAA